rnacentral:rRNA from 1 species
UGAGACGACGCUGGCGGCGUGCCUAACACAUGCAAGUCGAACGGAGAUAGGUUGAAAGCUUGCUGGAUACUUAUCUUAGUGGCGGACGGGCGAGUAACGCGUGAGCAACCUGCCCCAGACUGGGGGAUAACGUCGGGAAACCGGCGCUAAUACCGCAUAACACUGCGAAGCCGCAUGGUUUUGCAGUCAAAGCUCCGGCGGUUUGGGAUGGGCUCGCGUCCAAUUAGCUAGUUGGUGAGGUAACGGCCCACCAAGGCGACGAUUGGUAGCCGAACUGAGAGGUUGAUCGGCCGCAUUGGGACUGAGACACGGCCCAGACUCCUACGGGAGGCAGCAGUGGGGAAUAUUGCGCAAUGGGGGAAACCCUGACGCAGCAACGCCGCGUGAAGGAAGAAGGCCUUCGGGUUGUAAACUUCUUUGAUCGGGGACGAAGAUGACGGUACCCGAGGAACAAGCCACGGCUAACUACGUG